UACCGCGGCUGCUGGCACGUAGUUAGCCGGGGCUUUUCCUUACUUACCUUCAUACAUAAGUUCCCUUAUGCUGUUAUUCCGUAAGUUCAGAAGUUUACAUCCCGAAGGACUUCUUCCUUCACGCGGCGUCGCUGGAUCACACUUCCGUGCAUUGUCCAAAAUUCCCCACUGCUGCCUCCCGUAGGAGUAGGAACCGUGUCUCAGUUCCCUUGUGGCCGAUCAUGCUCUCACAUCGGCUACCCGUCGUCGGCUUGGUAGGCUCUUACCCUACCAACUACCUGAUGGGACGUAGACCCCUCUCCCGGCGCUUUUAAGCUUUUAUCUCUCGAUUAUUAUCCAGUAUUACCUACCGUUUCCAGUAGCUAUCCCAGUCCGUUAGGCAGGUUCCUACGUUAUACUCACCCGUUCGCCACUGAUACUCAAGGAGCAAGCUCCUCUUUCUCCGUUCGACUUGCAUGUGUUAGGCGCGCCGCCAGCGUUCACCCUGAGCCAGGAUCAAACUC
rnacentral:rRNA from 1 species